GUUUGGGAAGCAGGGAGGUAUGGAGGCAGCUGGAUGAGGGCUAGGCUGGGGACCUUGUGGAGGGAAUGGCAGCAGAUGCCCUGAUAUCAAGCGUGAGCCAGAAAGGAUCUGCCUGGGGACAGGACGGAGAAGAACAACUGUGAAGUUUACAGGGAAAAGCAUCCAAGACAAGUUGUCCCAGCUGCUCCCGCCACCCCUCUGCAGAGCCAGCUAUUUGCUUUGAACUGGCCGGGCCUGGAGAAUUUCAGCCGAAAGGUGAUGAAAAAUGAAAGCAGAAAUGUAAUACUGAAAUGUUUAAAUAAUGUCAACCACAGCUGUCACCAGUUGUUCUCUGGGGAAGCAGUGAAGAGGGGGGCCCUGUCAAACAACCUGACCGUACUUUAUGGGGACUGCAGAAGCCCUGGUGAUGCCAUGGCCAUGUCACAGGAGGCAGCAGCUUCCUACAAGGACACUGACCUAAGGAUAAGGAAACAGCUCCUGUUCAUAUCCCACCAUGGUCCUACAGGCAUCUGGAAGCUCCCCACAACCACCCGUGGAGAUCUUCAUCCCCCCCCUUAACUGUGUGUGAAACUUAUGACAGAAUCAGAAAGUCACAAAAAU